AUGUUGAAAACUUGGAGGGUACAUUGGCUGCUUCACAUUAGACCCGGAAAGAAGACAGCCGGUAACGACUAUGAAGCAGAGUCGCAUAGUAAUGGACCCAAGAAUAGAUGUGAGGACGAGUAUUUCAAAAAACCGAAGACUUAUAUUCCUCUAAACAAGGGAAACACUCACUGGGUUACUGUCGUCAUGCAUAGCGGGAAGAGAGAGUUUCAGGUUCUUGACUCGUUGAUGCCCGGAAAACUUGACAGUGUUACUAGACAACUCGUUGAGGACUUGAGAAAACAAUUAGGAGAAGAUAUCCAAGAAGCAAAUGCAACCGGAGUUGUGAAUUAUCCGGAUGUGUCCACAUGGCCUAUUCAAACGUAUGACAUGCCAAAACAAAAUGAUGGGAAUUCAUGUGGAAUAUUUCUCCUUCGACGCUUUCAAUAUUGGGAUGGUGACAAAUGGACAGGCUUAUUUUCACAGAGGUCAAUUGAUGAUUCGAGGGAGGUAAUGAUAGCGCAACUUAUUUUUUCGGAAAGAAACAAGCUUGAUGAAGUGAAAAACAAAGUUAUUCGGAUAUCAAAGAAGAAGAAAUAG
rnacentral:rRNA from 1 species